GGCUAUACGUGCCAGCAGCCGCGGUAAUAUAGGUGCAGCGUAUCGGAAUUACUGGGCGUAAAGCGUGCAGCGGUGUAAGAAAUGUGAAAUCCCCGGGCUACCUGGAACUGCAUUGUGACUGCAGACUAAGUGUGUCAGGAGGUGGAAUUCCGCGUGUAGCAGUGAAAUGCGUAAUGCGGAAGAACACCGAGCGAAGGCAGCCUCCUGGGAUAACACUGACGCUCAGGCACGAAAGCGGGGACAACGGAUAGAUACCCUGGUAGUCCAGNCCUAACGAGUAUAGUGUGGGGAUCUUCCUUAUAACGUAGCUAACGCNA
rnacentral:rRNA from 1 species